AUGAUUGUCUGACAUUCUAUUCUAUUUGUUGUAAAUAAAGUUAGCAAGAUGUUGCAAUCGUCAACCAUGUGCAUUGACUCCGCUUUGAAGCAAAUAAAAGGUAUAACACAAUAUUUUGAGAAGUACAAAUAUGAGGGGUUUUCUUCAGGUUUUAGCAUCUCUAAAGGUAUUGCAACUGAAAUGGGAAUAGAUCCAUUGUUUCUAGUGAAACGUCGUGCUACGAGGAAGAAACAAUUUGACGAAAGUGAUUGUCAACAAGAAAUUCUAGAAGCUAAGAAGGCUUUCGGAGUUAAAUAUUUUAGUGUUUUGGUUGAUAUGGCGACCAAUUCUUUGAAUUAUAGAUUCAAAGAACUCAUGGCGUUUAAAGAUAUAAUCGGAUUUGUAUUGAAAUCUGGCACCCUGAAGUCAUUAUGUGACAAUUAACUUGAAGAAUGUUGUACAAAAUUUCUCUCUUAA
rnacentral:rRNA from 1 species